AAACCAGCACCUCAAGUGGUCAGGAUGAUUAUUGGGCCUAAAGCAUCCGUAGCCGGCUCUGUAAGUUUUCGGUUAAAUCUGUACGCUUAACGUACAGGCUGCCGGGAAUACUGCAGAGCUAGGGAGUGGGAGAGGUAGACGGUACUCGGGAGGAAGUGGUAAAAUGCUUUGAUCUCUCGAUGACCACCUGUGGCGAAGGCGGUCUACCAGAACACGUCCGACGGUGAGGGAUGAAAGCUGGGGGAGCAAACAGGAUUAGAAACCCCAGUAGUCC
rnacentral:rRNA from 1 species